CAUGGCUGGUGAGUGGAGUAGGUCUGCACCCAGGCUUGGAACCCAUGAACCUGGGCUGUCAAAGUGGAGCGUGCAGAAUUUAACCACUCGGCCCUGAAUGUAUCUUUUUGGAAACAGUCCUCCUUAUGAUUUUAAGCAUUUUAGAAUACAUUUCAAGCAUAGAUUACAGUCAUGUGCCGCAUAACAAUGUCUCUGUCAACAAUGGACCACACAUACAACGGUGGUCCCAUAAGCUUAGUACCAUGUAGCCUAGGUAUGCAGUAGGCUGUACCAUCUAGGUUUGUGUAAGUGCACACUAUAACGUUCUCACAACAAGGAAAUCACCUAACGAUGCAUUUCUCAGAACGUAUUCCCAUUAUUGAAUGAUGCAUGUUUGUGUAAAGAUAAGAUAGAUAGUUUCUGCUAUUUCAAGCUACCUAAGACCAAAAUCUACAUUUCCUAAGAUUUAAUCGUUUGCAUGGGAUUUGUUUCAUCAUACUUCUCUAUAUUUUAUUCUCCUAAAACUUAAAGAAGAAGAAGUAACUCUGUGAGUGUUACAUUCCCAAGAAAAAUUGUCUGCAAAUAGCUUAAUUUUAGAUGGUCACUCCUCCACAUCUUUAUUGUGGGAACAAGGAAAGGACAUAGCUGUCUUAAUGGCAAAACUGACAGAAAAAGCAGGGGACAGUCUUUCAUAACAUCAUAAAAUAAGACAAUACUCAAGUCAUAAUCUAGUAAAAUCCCCACCUUGUUUCUAAGAAACUUCUUACAAGAAACUAAUACUAAAUAACUGGGGUUACAGAAAAAAUAGUAUUAUCCAUACCAAACGCACUUAUGUACAUAUAAGUACUUAUCAGAGAAGAAAUUCUUUCUACCCAAGGAUGCCUUGGAGAUUCCUAUUUCCCAAUCAUUAUUCUCUUUCACAAUCCCCUCCCAGUAAUUAGUUCAGAGGUAGGUCUGGGUUCCCAAGACAGCAGGAUAUUCAAAUAUCUCAAGAUGGUUCACCGUGUCUUGAUUGACAUCUUAAUUAGCCACAUUCUUGAAAUCAGGGGAUGCAGUAGGAUAACGACUCCACGUCUUGUGAUCUCAAAACAGACUUGAGAAAGUUAAGAAAAUGGGAGUGACUUUCUCAAUGGCAAAUCUUAAGUGAAGCUUGUCAGAGCCAGGUGUCACCAGGGGGCCCCUGCUCCACCACACAGGGCAAUAAGCAGUGGUUCUUGCCGAAUCUCACAGUGGCAAUCUUUGAAAUCUUUUAAGUGAGGUCCCAGAUCCUUUGCUACCUUAGCCAUCAUCCCCAGUGCAGGUUAUAGCUUGGAUUUCUCAACUGUAUGUGUCCUUGCACUCAGGGCAGGGAAUACGAUGUGAGGUUUCUUUCAGGCUUUUUAGGAGACACUCCUGGCAAAACGUGUCCACGUUCACUUGCAAUUGACUUGGUCAAACAGUGCAAACAGAUAGAACAAGUGGCAAACUCUAUUCUUUCUUUGCUCUUAGUUCUUUUCACAUUAUGCUGAGACAAUCAAGGGAGGCAUACAGACUGGAUGAUUUUAAGUAUACGCAGUUCUUGAGUCAGCAAAACUAAUCUAUAGUGAUAGAAAUCAGAUCAGAGGACCCACGGGGUAGGCUGGGGGAGGAAUGACCACAACGGGGCCCGAGGGAACUUCUGAGGUUGCUGAAAGUGCUCUGCGUCUUCACAGGUGUAGACGUUUGUCAAAGUUCAUCCAACUGUGCGCUUAAAUGUAUUCAUUUUAUUAUAUGUAAAUUACAUCUCAAUAAAUUUGAUUAAGUCCUUUUUAUUGCCUAUAAGAUUUUUCUCAAGUAUCCUAUCAUUCUAAGGAUUGAGCUUCCUAACAAUUGCCUUUCACUUCAGGGCCACACUUGAAAUUCACUCCUCUUCCAUCUUCCAUGCAUGUCCUGUGAUACCUGAGUUUGCUAGAGAAUUUACCAGGCUGCCAAGUCUGUCUCUUUAGAUCCUUCUCCCUUUUCUUCCUAUCCAAGAUCAUCCUUGCUUAUAAGACUUAGAAUUUCAUUUCAGCUUACUUCUCCCAAACACUUGUCACCUUCUCUCUGAGGGUCUCUAUCCAGGGAAUCUAUCAUUCAUCACAAACUGUUAGAGCUGUCUUACCGAAGUCUAGGAGAUAUGUCUAAUCACAUUCACCUCUCCCUGACUGUCAUGAACUCUGGAACAACUUGAUCAUUUUUACUCCAUGAUUCAUGUCACUUCCACUUUUCUGACCAGUUCCUCCUCGUGGACAGAAUUUGGUACUUACUUCCUCUACUUUCUGAGAAAACUUCCACUUAAAAAAACUGCUGAUCCCCCAGAGCAUGGUGUUUUUAGAGAAAAGGGACGUUAGAGGUCAGUAAGGCCUCUUCUCUUCUUAUAUGAGACAUCUAGGGCCAUCAGGGAUGACAUAUUUGCCCAAAGUCAGACAGUUAAUAAAACUCUACAUUGAAACAUGAUUGCUAUCGGUCACUGUGUACUAUCAGGCGGGAUGGUUAUUGCCCAAGGGCAGCCAACUGAGGGCAGAGUGCAGACUGAAUGUAGUCUGUGCUCCACUUCCUCUGCCAAGUUGUCAUUCCUGCUUAGGGCUGUACUCCUCCUCAGAGAAGGGGCCUCUCUGAUUUUCAGAAGGGCAUCAUUUGGCUAAUAGUGGCUCUGAUCUAUAGCUAAAGUUUUCUGCCAAGUUAUUCCAAAUUUAAGUGUUUAUUAGAAAAAAAUUUUCAUCAGGAAGGAAUUUAGCGUUUUUAUUUUAGAAUAAUUACUAUCCUACAAUUUUAUGUUCCUAACAAUUCUUAUCACAUCUUUUUCAUAUGGUAUUUUGUGAAUUCUUAAGCAAUCCAAGUCAUUCCAGAUUUGAUAUAUUUUGCUUCAACUCCUUAAGAAAUGGAGGCCUGCUACAGAUCCAGGCCAGGAGUACAAGACUCCACUUGCAAGAGAAGCGUUGGCCCAGGACUACAGGGUGGGAGCAAAGGAAGGCUUAAGGCCCACCCACUGUAAGGCAGCUUUCAGUCCGACACAAAGGAUGCAGUCCAAGGAGACAAGAACUUAAUCGUAAGGGAAAGGUCUGGAGUAGAAGACAGGCAGGACGGAGAGAGGCGUUCAGAGGCAGGGCCUGGAAAGUCUCCCUGAGAACGGGAGGUGACCUUUUGUAUGGUGCCUCCUGUGUGCCUUGGAUGAGUCAGGAAGAGUGUGAGGGGCCUGGUGGACCUCCAGAGCCCCGAAUCAAUGCCAAAAUGCCACUGGAGGCCAAGAGGAUUCAGUACAAGCAGAGACCAGUGUUCUGGUCUAAGUGGGACAAGGCACUGUAACCAGAGCUCACUCAGUAAGGAGGCACCAGGCAAAACAAAACUCUCUGUGGACCAGUCACCCCUCCUCCCAUGCCAUGUGGAUGCAUAAACUUUCCCCUCCCUAGAUGCCAUCUUGGUACUGAAGGGGGAGGGACAAAAAGGCCUAAGAGACUGAGCACUUACCCAAAAGAGAUUGGGUUAGCCCAAAAGUUGUCUCUGGUUAUCUUUAACUGGAAAGGUUAUGUCCGGUGAUGUCACUCCACCACUGAACCUUCCCAUCCGAGGAAACGGAACUUUCAGAACAAGAAGAGAAGAGUUACAGAUGAGAAGGAUGCUGCAUUUUUUUUCGACCUUCAAGUGCAAUUUAAACCCAUUGCUCCUGGUCCCUCUGAUUCCAGAAGACCUGCUGUGCACAUUAUCCAGGAGUCACAGAGUUCAAAUAUGAAUUGUCACUAGUCUAGCAUGGCACCUUACACACAGGAGGCAUUCAACCGCAGUUUAUCAACGAAGUGAAACCCAGCAGCUCAGCAGAGCAGCAGGAAGCGUCUCUCUCAUCCAGAGCUCCUGGGCAGCUGGCUUCCUGGGAGGGUCCCCGACUGUCUUACAUAGUUGUAUAUUCUUCGUUGUGGGUCCUUCUAGUUGUGGCAUGUGGGACGCUGCCUCAGUGUGGUUCGAUGAGCAGCGCCACGCCCGCGCCCAGGACCGGAACCAAUGAAACACCGGGCCGCCUGCAGCGGAGCGCGCGAACUUAACCACUCGGCCACCGGGCCAGCCCCUAGAAGACAGUUUUUUCAGAUCUGCGUUGUCAAACAGCACUUUUUUUCUCACAAAGGUCAGCUCGGGAAGAGACUGGCUGUCUUCGAUCCCACGCACUGCAGUAUCCCGGAUGCCUGGCGCAGUAAGGGCUGCAUAAACACGUGUAUUGACGACCAACUGACUGAUGCCUUUCUCGCUGUGAUUAACGUACCGGGAUGUCAGAAAGAGCUCCAAAUUUCAUUAGAGCGUCCGGGUCCCAUCUUGGCUCUACCUCUUCUUGCUCUGUGACUCUGGAAAAGUCACCCAGCCUUUCCGAGCUUCUACUGCCUGAUCUGCAAAAUAAGGAUGACAGUGUCCUCCUUUGGGGCAUUUCUAAGGAGCACUUGUGAUCAUGGACUUAGUGCUUAGUAGAUGUUCAAAGCACAUCAGGCAAACUCAGUCAAGUGGUGACGAUUUUAGCAUCAAUGCUAUAAGAGCACUUUAUGCUGGAAAAGAAGAUGAGUAAUUUAAAAAUUGAGGAUAUGGCCAUCUACAUCUUUGCCUCCUGAAGUCAGUGUAUCUGAGGUAAAAUGGAUAUCUGUAGCAUGUGGGAACUUGUGGAAGUGGCAGCAAAUAAACUCAUAUUGAUUAUCUGUC